AUUGAACGCUGGCGGCAGGCCUAACACAUGCAAGUCGAGCGGCUGAGAGGAGCUUGCUUCUCGAUUCAGCGGCGGACGGGUGAGUAAUGCCUAGGAAUCUGCCUGGUAGUGGGGGACAACGUUUCGAAAGGAACGCUAAUACCGCAUACGUCCUACGGGAGAAAGCAGGGGACCUUCGGGCCUUGCGCUAUCAGAUGAGCCUAGGUCGGUUUAGCUAGUUGGUGAGGUAAUGGCUCACCAAGGCGACGAUCCGUAACUGGUCUGAGAGGAUGAUCAGUCACACUGGAACUGAGACACGGUCCAGACUCCUACGGGAGGCAGCAGUGGGGAAUAUUGGACAAUGGGCGAAAGCCUGAUCCAGCCAUGCCGCGUGUGUGAAGAAGGUCUUCGGAUUGUAAAGCACUUUAAGUUGGGAGGAAGGGUUGUAGAUUAAUACUCUGCAAUUUUGACGUUACCGACAGAAUAAGCACCGGCUAACUCUGUGCCAGCCGCCGCCGUAAGAC
rnacentral:rRNA from 1 species